UACGAAGGGGGCUAGCGUUGCUCGGAAUCACUGGGCGUAAAGGGCGCGUAGGCGGCGUUUUAAGUCGGGGGUGAAAGCCUGUGGCUCAACCACAGAAUGGCCUUCGAUACUGGGACGCUUGAGUAUGGUAGAGGUUGGUGGAACUGCGAGUGUAGAGGUGAAAUUCGUAGAUAUUCGCAGGAACACCAGUGGCGAAGGCGGCUUACUGGUCCAUUACUGACGCUGAGGUGCGAAAGCGUGGGGAGCAAACAGG
rnacentral:rRNA from 1 species